rnacentral:rRNA from 1 species
GACGAACGCUGGCGGCGUGCUUAACACAUGCAAGUCGAACGGAAAGGCCCUGCUUUUGUGGGGUGCUCGAGUGGUGAACGGGUGAGUAACACGUGAGUAACCUGCCCUUGACUUUGGGAUAACUUCAGGAAACUGGGGCUAAUACCGGAUAGGAGCUCCUGCGGCAUGGUGGGGGUUGGAAAGUUUCGGCGGUUGGGGAUGGACUCGCGGCUUAUCAGCUUGCUGGUGGGGUAGUGGCUUACCAAGGCUUUGACGGGUAGCCGGCCUGAGAGGGUGACCGGCCACAUUGGGACUGAGAUACGGCCCAGACUCCUACGGGAGGCAGCAGUGGGGAAUAUUGCACAAUGGGCGGAAGCCUGAUGCAGCAACGCCGCGUGCGGGAUGACGGCCUUCGGGUUGUAAACCGCUUUCGCCUGUGACGAAGCGUGAGUGACGGUAAUGGGUAAAGAAGCACCGGCUAACUACGUG